GGCGUGGAAUAGCUCAGCUUCGAAAGCUUUAGAUUGAGGAUCUAAAUGUCUCUGGUUCAAACUUGCAUUUCGCCU